rnacentral:rRNA from 1 species
UACGUAGGGGGCAAGCGUUGUCCGGAAUCAUUGGGCGUAAAGAGCGUGUAGGCGGUUUGGUAAGUCCGCUGUGAAAGUCAAGGGCUCAACCCUUGAAAGCCGGUGGAUACUGUCGAACUAGAGUCCGGAAGAGGCGAGUGGAAUUCCUGGUGUAGCGGUGAAAUGCGCAGAUAUCAGGAGGAACACCGAUGGCGAAGGCAGCUCGCUGGGACGGUACUGACGCUGAGACGCGAAAGCGUGGGGAGCAAACAGG